rnacentral:lncRNA from 1 species
CUCUGGCAUAGAGCUUAUUAGAGAGAUGCCAACAUAGGGAAUGUCCACCAAUAUUCUCUUUUUGCAGUCAGAAGAAUUUUCAUGCUUCAAUACAUGUUUAUUUCUAUCUUUGGACUGAGAGAUUUUUGCAGUCAGAAUAAUUUUCAUGCUUCAAUACAUGUUUAUUUCUAUCUCUGGACUGAGAGAUGUGUGGACUCUUCAUACCACUCAAUACAUGGCAAUUGGAAUCAAUGAUGCUCAGAAUCUGUAUUUGGAAAAUAUAAACUGUCACUACAAAAGAGUAAGACAAAGAUGGUAUGUGG